GGCGUCCUUCUUCAUGCAAGUCGAAGCGGACAGAUGGGAAGCUUGCUCCCUGAUGUUAGCGGCGGACGGGUGAGUAACACGUGGGUAACCUGCCUGUAAGACUGGGAUAACUCCGGGAAACCGGGGCUAAUACCGGAUGGUUGUCUGAACCGCAUGGUUCAGACAUAAAAGGUGGCUUCGGCUACCACUUACAGAUGGACCCGCGGCGCAUUAGCUAGUUGGUGAGGUAACGGCUCACCAAGGCGACGAUGCGUAGCCGACCUGAGAGGGUGAUCGGCCACACUGGGACUGAGACACGGCCCAGACUCCUACGGGAGGCAGCAGUAGGGAAUCUUCCGCAAUGGACGAAAGUCUGACGGAGCAACGCCGCGUGAGUGAUGAAGGUUUUCGGAUCGUAAAGCUCUGUUGUUAGGGAAGAACAAGUGCCGUUCAAAUAGGGCGGCACCUUGACGGUACCUAACCAGAAAGCCACGGCUAACUACGUGCCAGCAGCCGCGGUAAUACGUAGGUGGCAAGCGUUGUCCGGAAUUAUUGGGCGUAAAGGGCUCGCAGGCGGUUUCUUAAGUCUGAUGUGAAAGCCCCCGGCUCAACCGGGGAGGGUCAUUGGAAACUGGGGAACUUGAGUGCAGAAGAGGAGAGUGGAAUUCCACGUGUAGCGGUGAAAUGCGUAGAGAUGUGGAGGAACACCAGUGGCGAAGGCGACUCUCUGGUCUGUAACUGACGCUGAGGAGCGA
rnacentral:rRNA from 1 species